rnacentral:rRNA from 1 species
AGAACGAACGCUGGCGGCAUGCCUAACACAUGCAAGUCGAACGAGACCGCUGACUUCGGUUGGCGCGUCUAGUGGCGCACGGGUGCGUAACGCGUGGGAAUCUGCCCUUGGGUACGGAAUAACAGUGGGAAACUACUGCUAAUACCGUAUAAUGACUUCGGUCCAAAGAUUUAUCGCCCAGGGAUGAGCCCGCGUAGGAUUAGCUUGUUGGUGAGGUAAAAGCUCACCAAGGCGACGAUCCUUAGCUGGUCUGAGAGGAUGAUCAGCCACACUGGGACUGAGACACGGCCCAGACUCCUACGGGAGGCAGCAGUGGGGAAUAUUGGACAAUGGGCGAAAGCCUGAUCCAGCAAUGCCGCGUGAGUGAUGAAGGCCUUAGGGUUGUAAAGCUCUUUGCCCGGAUGAUAAGUGACAGUACCGGAGAAUAAGCUCCGGCUAACUCCGUGCCAGCAGCCGAC